AUUGAACGCUGGCGGCAGGCCUAACACAUGCAAGUCGAGCGGCUGAAGAGUGCUUGCUUCCGCUUUCGGCGGCGGAGGGGCGGAUAGUGGAUAGGAAUAUGGCUAGUUGCGGGUGCUAAGGGGAGGACACGGGCGCAAAUACCGUAUACGUCCUGAGGGCGUACGUGUGGGAGCUUCGGAUCUUCCGCCAUUACACGAUCCAAGGUCGGAUUAGCUAGUUGGCGGGGUAAAGGCCUACCAAGGCGACGAUCCGUAGCUGGUCUGAGAGGAUGAUCAGUCACACUGGAACUGAGACACGGUCCAGACUCCUACGGGAGGCAGCAGUGGGGAAUAUUGGACAAUGGGCGAAAGCCUGAUCCAGCCAUACCGCGUGUGUGAAGAAGGUCUUCGGAUUGUAAAGCACUUUUGUUGGGAAAGAAAAGCAGUAGGUUAAUACCCUGCUGUUUUGACGGUACCAACAGAAUAAGCACCGGCUAACUUCGUG
rnacentral:rRNA from 1 species